AUGCUUGCUUGUAAAAUUCAGAAGGAGCUGCAGGGGUUGAGUCAGGGUGACAAAUCAGUUGUGAAUUAUGUGUCCGAAUUGAAGAGAUUGUGGAGUGAGAUUGAUUACUUUGAUCCAAUUGAUACGGAGUGUGGUAAGUGUAUUGAGAAAUUUAACAAGUGGACGGAAAAGAGACGUGUGAGGGACUUCCUAAAUGGACUUCAUUCUAAGUAUGAAAACAGGAGGGCUGCACUGUAUGGUAGCAGAAAGCUUCCUACACUGGAGCAGGCAAUAUCAGCUAUCAUUAGUGAGGAAACCAGAUUGAAAUUAGAGGCAGCCGGGUCAGUGAUGCAAGGUAUCAUGCAGCGGCGAUCAGCACUCUAUGCAGCAGAGGGUGGAAAUUAUCAAAGGUCGGGAUCAAAUACAACUGAGAAGAAAUGCUUCGAGUGCGGUCAGCCAGGACAUUUGAAGUUUUCAUGCCCUGAGUUAAUGGGAGGCGGCAGAGGAAGAGGGCAGGACUGGCGUGGAAGAGGUCGUGGCCGUGGGCUUGAAGGACGAGGCUACCGUGGGCGAGGUACACGCCCUGCUGCUAAAGCAAACACGUCGGUGAUCACUGAAAAUACCACCCAAACUAUGAGUGUUGAGAUGACUGCUGAGGAUUGGGAGAAGUGGUGCCAAUUCAAGGGGCUUUCUCUAGGUGACAAGACAACUGUUGAAGCGCCUACCUCUGCUGCCUUAGCAAAUUUCGGUGGAACUUGGGACUGGAAUAAGACUUGGGACGGGGAUCAUGCAUGA
rnacentral:rRNA from 1 species